GUUGGCAUGCCGGAGUUUUUAUCGGGCAUGACUAGAAAUCAUGAGGAAUUUGCCCGCACAGGUUCGAAUCAUGCUGCUCACG
rfam:Ipomoea nil DNA, scaffold: scaffold2283, cultivar: Tokyo-kokei standard.